GCCUCCCGCACAAGUGGUGGCGCAUGUGUUUCUAACUAGAAGCACCGCGAAGAUCUUUCCCAGGUCUCGACAUCGUAUGACAAUCUUAGAGAUAGGUCGUCCCCUUCGGGGGCAGAGUGACAGGUGGUGCAUGGUUGUCGUCAGCUAGUGUCGUGAGAUGUUGGGUUAAGUCCCGCAACGAGCGCAACCCUUGAUCUUAGUUGCCAGCAUUCAGUUGGGCACUGUAAGGUGACUGCCGGUGACAAACCGGAGGAAGGUGGGGAUGACGUCAAAUCAUCAUGCCCCUUAUGACCUGGGCUACACACGUGCUACAAUGGACAGAACAAAGGGCAGCGAAACCGCGAGGUUAAGCCAAUCCCACAAUUGAGUUUUCACUUGGGAUAGCAGUAAGCAACUCGGAUCCGUGAAAGAGGAAUCGCGAGUAUUCGGGGAAUAGCAAUAUGCGGACAACAGUUGGAAUAAUUAAAACACACAGCGUCGUCAUCCACGAGAGAUUGUAACACCCGAAGUCGGAGAGGUAACCUUGAGGAGCGCAGCCG
rnacentral:rRNA from 1 species